GGUCCUAUAGCUCAGUUGGUUAGAGCGUCGUACUAAUAAUGCGAAGGUCGUGAGUUCGACCCUCACUGGGACCA
rnacentral:tRNA from 1 species